AAAGCAGACCUGUUUGUGUCUGAAUAUUCGUGCAUGGAAUAAUGAAAUAUGAAUUCGGUUCUAUUUUGUUGGUUUUCGGAACUCGAGUUAAUGAUUAAGAGGGACAGACGGGGGUAUUAGUACUCUGCCGUUAGAGGUGAAAUUCUCGGAUCGGCGGAAGACUCGCAACUGCGAAAGCAUUUGCCAAGAAUGUUUUCUUUAAUCAAGAACGAUAGUCGGAGGUUCGAAGACGAUCAGAUACCGUCCUAGUUUCGACUGUAAACUAUGCCAGCUAACGAUCAGACAGCGUUCUCUACGACUUGUCUGGCAGUUUCCGGGAAACCAAAGCUUUUGGGUUCCGGGGGAAGUAUGGUUGCAAAGCUGAAACUUAAAGGAAUUGACGGAAGGGCACCACCAGGAGUGGAGCCUGCGGCUUAAUUUGACUCAACACGGGGAAACUCACCCGGCCCGGACACAGUGAGGAUUGACAGAUUGAGAGUUCUUUCUUGAUUCUGUGGGUGGUGGUGCAUGGCCGUUCUUAGUCGGUGGAGCGAUUUGUCUGGUUAAUUCCGAUAACGAACGAGACUCUGGCAUGUUAAAUAGUCGCGGAAGUAUUUUUGCUUACCGAUUUGACUUCUUAGAGGGACAAGUGAUUCUAGUCACACGAGAUUGAGCAAUAACAGGUCUGUGAUGCCCUUAGAUGUUCGGGGCCGCACGCGCGCUACAAUGAGUCGAUCAACGGGCGUUUUAUAUCCGAGGCCGAAAGGUCGAGGUAAUCCGUUGAACCCGACUCGUGCUAGGGAUAGGGAAUUGUAAUUUUUUCCCUUGAACGAGGAAUUCCCAGUAAGCGCAAGUCAUCAGCUUGCGUUGAUUACGUCCCUGCCCUUUGUACACACCGCCCGUCGCUACUACCGAUUGAAUGGUUCAGUGAGAUAAUCGGAUAGGUAACUUGGUAACUUGCAAAAGUUACCGAGCAUAUUUAGAAGACGAUCAAACUUAGUCAUUUAGAGGAAGUAAAAGUCGUAACAAGGUAGCCG
rnacentral:rRNA from 1 species